GAGACAUGUAUAUUUCCAAUUCCUGGACAAUGUUCAAUUCAAGCUCUAUCUGAUGUGGAGAAGGCUUAGAAGAAGGAAAUGGUGAAUUUUUCAUGGUCCCUGACAACUUCCAAACCACCUCUCUCUUUAGUGUUCCAGUUAAAGCUCCCUGCCCAGAAGAAUAAAUAUUUUUGUGUACGAAUUGAGCUAGAAAUUCUCUGGUGCAAAAUAACUAUUAAAGAGUAAGUUCUAAACCACAUGUUUAACCA